rnacentral:rRNA from 1 species
GGGUCAGUAGGUUGGUCGUGCCACCGGUACGUACUGGUCUCACUGAUUCCUCCUUCCUGAAGAACCGUAAUGCCAUUAAUUUGGUGUUGCGGGGAAACAGGACUGUUACUUUGAAAAAAUUAGAGUGUUUAAGGCAAGCUAACGCUUGAAUACAUUAGCAUGGAAUAAUGAAAUAGGACGAUCGACCCUAUUUUGUUGGUUUCUAGGAUUGACGUA